GAUUCGAUUAUGGCUCAGAUUGAACGCUGGCGGUCUUUACAUGGGAGUCGAACGGCAGCACGGACUUCGGUCUGGUGGCGAGUGGCGAACGGGUGAGAGUAAUGUGUAUCGGAACGUGCCUAGUAGCGGGGGGAUAACUAGCGGCGUAGCCUAAUACUGUAUACAUGUCGGAAAGCGAGACCUUCGGGCCUCGCACUAUUAAACAGCCGAUAUCGGAUUAGCUAGUUGGUGGGGUAACGGCUCACCAAGGCGACGAUCCGUAGCUGGUUUUUGAAGGACGACCAGCCACACUGGGACUGAGACACGGCCAGACUCCUACCAGGAGGCAGCAGUGGGAAUUUUGGACAAUGGGGAAACCCUGAUCCAGCCAUCCCGCGUGUGCGAUGAAGGCCUUCCGGGUUGUAAGCACUUUUGGCAGGAAAAACGGCACGGGAUAAUACCCCGUGCAACUGACAGCCUGCAGAAUAAGCGCCGGCUAACUACGUGCCAGCAGCCCUUACGGUAAUACGUAAGUGCAAGCGUUAAUCGGAAUUACUGGGCGUAAAGCUGCGCAGGCGGUUCGGAAAGAAAGAUGUGAAAUCCCAGGAGACCUUUGGAACUGCAUUUUUAACUAUAAAGUACAGAGUGUGUCAGAGGAGUGGGUCGCGUGUAGCAGUGAAAUGCGUAGAUAUGCGGAGAACUUACCGAUGGCGAAGAGGCGGCUCCUAAGGAUAACUUACUGACGCUCAUGCACGAAAGCGUGGGGAGCAAACAGGAUUAGAUACCCUGGUAGUCCACGCCUAAACGAUGUCAACUAGCUGUUGGGGCCUUCGGGCCUUGGUAGCGCAGCUAACGCGUGAAGUUGACCGCCUGGGAAGUACGGUCGCAAGAUUAAACUCAAAGGAAUUGACGGGGACCUUUGAUGGAUGAUGUGGAUUAAUUCGAUGCAACGCGAAAAACCUUACUACCCUUGACAUGUCUGGAAUCCCGAAGAGAUUUGAAGUGCUCGCAAGAGAACCGGAACACAGGUGCUGCAUGGCUGUCGUCAGCUCGUGUCGUGAGAUGUUGGGUUAAGUCCCGCAACGAGCGCAACCCUUGUCGGUAGUUGCUACGAAAGGGCACUCCUAAUGAGACUGCCAUUGCUCUGUCGGAGGAAGGUGGGGAUGACGUCAAGUCCUCAUGGCCCUUAUGGGUGGGGCUUCACACGUCAUACAAUGGUCGGGACAGAGGGUCACCAACCCGCGAGGGGGAACAAUCCCAGAAACCCGAUCGUAGUCCGGAUCACCAGUCUACCUUUCUGACUGCGUGAAGUCGGAAAUCGCUAGUAAUCGCGGAUCAGCAUGUCGCGGUGAAUACGAUUCCCCGGGUCUUGUACACACCGCCCGUCACACCAUGCGGUGGGUUUUGCAAGUAGUUGGUCUAACCGUAAGGGGCGAUUACGGUAGGAUUCAUGACUGGGGUGAAGUCUAACAAGGUAG
rnacentral:rRNA from 1 species